rnacentral:misc_RNA from 1 species
CCCCAGUAAAAUUCUUCCAAUCUAAAAUCUUUUUAUAUUCUCUAAAACUUUCUGUACGGGCAAUCUUUUUCUUCAAACGUGCAACCUUGGUUCUUUGGCUCUUGUAAUGUUCUACAGCAUCAUGAUAGGUUUGUGACAUGUGUAAUACCUCAUCAUCCUCAGAAAGACUAUUUAAAACUGGCACAUUUAAACUCCACGACCAUGUCUCCAGAGAACCUUCCAUGUACCAUAAGCCACCAAGUUCUGAAUCAGCAAGUUUUUCC